CAACAAUACUGAAGAAGCAAGAGUUUUCAGGAGCAUUCAGCUCAAACCUGGUUUUCUACCAAUUAAGGGGAGAAGCAGUGCAGGCAGCCGUGGUGUUCAGCGACCGAGCACAGAGCAACAACCGCCUCCCAAAGACAUCUCACUCUGCAAAGCAAAGAAUUCAGACUUAGGAGCUCCCUCUGCUGGUUCUGCACAAACUUUCACUCCAAAGUGCUUUCCCUUCUCCCCGCCUGCUGAUGAUCACUUCAACAACUAUUGCACGUAUCGUAUCAAAAAGGAGAAAUACCAGUGCAUUGCUUAUGAGGGCAUCUA
rnacentral:lncRNA from 1 species